GAGGGUCUAGUAAACAUUAUUACAUGGCUUUGUCAUAGCCAAAGCACAGCACCUGUGGCCCUCA
rnacentral:tRNA from 1 species